rnacentral:tRNA from 1 species
CAGAAGGUAGUUUAGUUUAGAAUACUAGCUUUGGGAGUUAGUGGUGGGAGUUAAAAUCUUUCUCUUCUGG